UACAGAGGUCCCAAGCGUUGUUCGGAUUCACUGGGCGUAAAGGGUGCGUAGGUGGUGAGGUAAGUCGGAUGUGAAAGCUCGGAGCUCAACUCCGAAAUGGCAUUGGAAACUACCUUGCUCGAGGGUUGGAGGGGGGACUGGAAUACUUGGUGUAGCGGUGAAAUGCGUAGAUAUCGUAAGGAAGACCAGUGGCGAAGGCGGGUCUCUGGACCUGUACUGACGCUGAGGAGCGAAAGCGUGGGGAGCGAACAGG
rnacentral:rRNA from 1 species